AAUCAGAUUUAUGAUUAUUUCUGUAUAUGUUUAUCUCUAAUUAUGUUAAUAUUUAUAUUUGUGUUUAUGUCUAUAUUUAUUUGUAUGUUUACAUGUAUAUCAUAUAAAUAAAAUGAGAGGAGGGAGAGGAUAGGAUAAAAUAAAAUAAAAUAUAAUGAUGGAACCAUAAGUGUUGUACGCUUGCAGCCAAAUCUCAUUCAGGUGACAUGGUUGGGUACGAAGUUACACAAGUCAGUACCAUAACUCAACACUUGUUCUGGAGACCAUAGCACGAAGAGAGGCAAUUGUGCUAGCUCCAUCUCCAAGACUUUUGGAAAUUGAAAUAAAAGAUGAUUCUAAGCAAUCCAUCGCAGGAUUAGUCCCCAUUCCCUUAGAAAUUGACUCUAUUGUUAGAAGACAUCUUGCCAUUUUAGAAGUGUUUUGAUCUCUUCUUGUUCUAUUAAAGUUUAUCACUAGAACGAGCAAUUGGGCUGUAGAU
rnacentral:misc_RNA from 1 species